rfam:Danio rerio chromosome 23, GRCz11 reference primary assembly.
GCCGGCAGCUAGCUCUCUGCAACUCUCACAUGGUCGCCCACUGAAGCUAAGCAGGGCUGUGCCCGGUCAGUACCUGGAUGGGAGAUCACAUGGGAAAGCUAGGUUGCUUCCGGAA